rnacentral:sRNA from 1 species
GAGAGUUGAAGGAUUGAAAAAUGAAGACAGAGCAUGCAGGGUAGAUUUAAUGUAGCGGAAGGAUAAUAAACCACAGAGGAGUGAAAGAAGCUCCUUAUCCUCGAAAUGGCAGCAGAGGAGAUAGUUUCUAAAGGAAGCGUCGUGAACGCCACAGAGCGGCUUGUUUGUAAUUCCCAAGUGUACGGGCGAUGAGGGCUUAGAGAUAAGCGUAGUACACAUACA